rnacentral:rRNA from 1 species
UCAAGCUACAAAGGGCGCAUGGUGAAUGCCUUGGCAUCAGGAGCCGAUGAAGGACGUGAUAAGCUGCGAUAAGCUUCGGGUAGGCGCACAUAGCCAGUGAUCCGGAGAUUUCCGAAUGAGGGAACUCACAUGGGAAACCCCAUGUACCGUAUAGUGAAUACAUAGCUAUACGGAGGUAAACCUAGGGAACUGAAACAUCUAAGUACCUAGAGGAAGAGAAAGAAAAAUCGAUUUUCUGAGUAGCGGCGAGCGAAAGGGAAAGAGCCCAAACCAGUGACUUGUCACUGGGGUUGCGGACAGAACAUUAACGAGAAGAUGUUGUUAACCGAACAUAACUGGAAAGUUAGACCGUAGGAGGUAAUAGUCCUGUAGGUGAAAGCGACAUUGAUCAAGUUCUGAUCCAGAGUACCACGAGACACGUGAAACCUUGUGGGAAGCAGGGAGGACCACCUCCCAAGGCUAAAUACUACCUGAUGACCGAUAGUGAAGCAGUACCGUGAGGGAAAGGUGAAAAGAACCCCGGGAGGGGAGUGAAAUAGAACCUGAAACCGUGUGCCUACAACCGGUCAAAGCCCCUUAUGAGGGUGAUGACGUGCUUUUUGUAGAACGAGCCAACGAGUUACGGUAUGUAGCAAGGUUAAGUACUUAAGGUACGGAGCCGAAGGGAAACCGAGUCUUAAUAGGGCGACUAGUUGCAUGCCGUAGACCCGAAACCGGGUGACCUAUCCAUGGCCAGGUUGAAGCGAGGGUAAAACCUCGUGGAGGACCGAACCACGUUGCUGUUGAAAAAGCAUGGGAUGAGCUGUGGAUAGCGGAGAAAUUCCAAUCGAACUCGGAGAUAGCUGGUUCUCCCCGAAAUAGCUUUAGGGCUAGCGUCGGAUAUGUGUAGUGGAGGUAGAGCACUGAAUGGGCUAGGGGGCAUAUCGCUUACCGAACCUUAUCAAACUCCGAAUGCCAUAUACAUUUAGUCCGGCAGUCAGACUACGAAUGAUAAGAUCCGUGGUCAAAAGGGAAACAGCCCAGAUCGUCAGCUAAGGUCCCAAAGUGUAAGUUAAGUGGAAAAGGAUGUGGGAUUUCUAAGACAACUAGGAUGUUGGCUUAGAAGCAGCCACUCAUUUAAAGAGUGCGUAAUAGCUCACUAGUCGAGAGAUCCUGCGCCGAAAAUGUCCGGGGCUAAAACUUACCACCGAAGCUACGGGCUUGCGUAAGCAAGCGGUAGGGGAGCGUCGUAAUCGGGCUGAAGUCGUACCGUAAGGAGCGGUGGACUGAUUACGAGUGAGAAUGUUGGCAUUAGUAGCGAGAUGUAGGUGAGAAUCCUACAGGCCGAAUAUCUAAGGUUUCCUCAGGAAGGCUCGUCCGCUGAGGGUUAGUCGGGACCUAAGCCGAGGCCGAAAGGCGUAGGCGAUGGACAACAGGUUGAUAUUCCUGUACCACUACCAUCGUUAUUAUCGAGGGUGUGACGGAGAAGGAUAGUGUGUGCUAGCGAUUGGAAAUGCUAGUCUAAGCGUUUAGGCAGUUACGGUAGGCAAAUCCGCUGUAACGUUAAUGCUGAGGCGUGAUGGGGAAGGCCCUUGAGGCUGAAGUACAUGAUUCCAUGCUUCCAAGAAAAGCAUCUAGAGAGAGAAGUAGUGCCCGUACCGCAAACCGACACAGGUAGAUGAGGAGAGAAUCCUAAGGCCGGCGGAAGAAUUGCAGUUAAGGAACUAGGCAAAUUGACCCCGUAAGUUAGCGAGAAGGGGUGCCUGCGAGAGCAGGCCGCAGAGAAUAGGCCCAAGCAACUGUUUAGCAAAAACACAGGUCUCUGCUAAAGCGUAAGCUGAUGUAUAGGGGCUGACGCCUGCCCGGUGCUGGAAGGUUAAGGGGAACACUUAGCGCAAGCGAAGGUGUGAACUUAAGCCCCAGUAAACGGCGGCCGUAACUAUAACGGUCCUAAGGUAGCGAAAUUCCUUGUCAGGUAAGUUCUGACCCGCACGAAUGGCGUAAUGAUCUGGG